rnacentral:rRNA from 1 species
UACGAAGGGGGCUAGCGUUGCUCGGAAUCACUGGGCGUAAAGCGCACGUGGGCGGAUCUUUAAGUCAGGGGUGAAAUCCCAAGGCUCAACCUUGGAACUGCCUUUGAUACUGGGGAUCUCGAGUCCGGAAGAGGUGAGUGGAACUGCGAGUGUAGAGGUGAAAUUCGUAGAGAUUGGGUGGAACACCAGUGGCGAAGGCGCCUAUCUGGCUGACAACUGACGCUGAGACUCGAAAGCAUGGGGAGCAAACAGG